GUGGGUAUAGUUCAGUUGGUUAGAGCGUCAGAUUGUGGUUCUGAAUGUCGUGGGUUCGAGUCCCUCUACCCACCCA
rnacentral:tRNA from 1 species